rnacentral:rRNA from 1 species
GCGUAACACGUGAACAACCUGCCCUCGUGUGGGGGAUAGCCAUGCUAACGCGUGGGUAAUACCGCAUACGUUCCUCUGGAGGAGUCUCUGGGGGAGGAAAGCUCCGGCGCACGGGGAGGGGUUCGCGGCCUAUCAGCUAGUUGGCGGGGUAACGGCCCACCAAGGCGACGACGGGUAGCUGGUCUGAGAGGAUGGCCAGCCACAUUGGGACUGAGAGACGGCCCAG